rnacentral:tRNA from 1 species
GCGUCGAUAACUCAGCAGGUAGAGUGACGGGUUGAAAUUCCGUUGGUCACUGGUUCGAUUCCAGUUCGGCGCACCA